AUUUUUUUCAAUACAGUAACAAGAUACAAAGUGUAAAAUGCAAAGAAAAUAAAAAUAAAAUGACUAACAUCAUGUAUAAAUAUUUUCCGAAAAAAGCACUACAUUUUAUUUGUUUGUUUAUUAUUAUUAUUAUUAUUAUUAUGUAUUACAAUAACUAGAUGCAAAAUGCAUAAAAUACACUUAAAUCUGAUUAGGUUAAAGUUUUGACAUGAAUCAUAUGACAUUUUAAAAGGGUCUCAUAACCUGAGUACACAGUGCAAUGUAAAUCUAAGAAAAGCUUUUGAAAAACAUUCAUAACAUAAAUAAUAAAAACCGUAUUUACAAACCAAACUGAAAGUUGAGAUCAAUGAUACGAGGCACAGUGUAUAAACAAGUUAAAGAUCAAACCUCAGAGAAGCCUUUGAGCCUCGUGUUUCAUCGGAGUUCAAACAUUCCGCUGCAGUAAUCUCUUUAUUUUCAUCAAAACAUAAAGAUACAAUGAAACAUUUGAACAAUCAGAGGUUCUGACAGACGUUGUUUGACACGGACCCUUUUGUGGCGUCAGCAGCGACGUGCGACGCGAUUGGCUGAGGCUUCGCGUCAGCUGAUCGCGGUCAUGUGAUGAUUCACAUGGCGGAAGUAUGUCUCGCUGAGUGUUUUCCAUUUGCCUUAGUAACAUUUCUGCAGGCAAAUGACACUAAAAUGUCGUUUCUGUUCGCGUGAAUUUGUUGGGUCUUCUGGUUUGUUGUGAUGUAGGAGAGUGCAGAAGAAGAAACGUGCUGCUCAUCAUUGUUUUUCUUUGGAAAGGUAUAAUUGGGAAAAAACAUGUUGGUUCAGGCCCUGUAUACCCGUUCGAUUUCGCCUACACGGAAGAGACCAGUUCUGUUCUGCAGGUGGGUUGGAAUAUCACCAAGAUCAAGCUCCUUGUCCGGAAAUUCUUCCAGAGCCAGAAAGCGGAGAGGAGUGAGACGGAAGAGGAACGGCCGUUCUUUCUCUACGUGGCGUUCCAUGAUCCUCACCGUUGUGGCCAUUCCCAGCCUCAGUAUGGAGUGUUCUGUGAAAAGUUUGGGAAUGGAGAGAGCGGAAUGGGGAGAAUUCCGGAUUGGGAGCCAAAGUAGUACUCUCCAGACCAGGUCAAGGCACACCUGCAGCGAGGGCGGAUAUUGCGGCCCAAUACACAACGGUCAGCCGGCUGGACCAAGGUUAUAUAUUUUACACCAUUCACAGUAAUGUUUAAAAAAUUUGCAUGCAUAGAUCUUCACAAGUUUUCUGUUUGAUUUCGAAGGUAUCGGUCUGGUUCUUCAAGAACUACGGGAUGCAGGAUUUGAAAAUGAAACUCUGGUGAUCUACAGCUUGGAUAACGGAAUUCCAUUCCCAAUGGUCGCACUAACCUGUACGGCUCAGGUGUGAGGGAACCCAUGCUGGUCUCCUCACCUGAACACCAGCAGCGUUGGGAACAGUUAAGCCAGGCUUACAUCAGUCUGCUGGGUAAGAGCCCAUCAACAGCUUGAUUAAUUAAUAUCAGGAACGUGUAAAUAAACAAAUGUGCACAGCACAAAGUCUAUCAUGGGCUUGAGUUGUGCUGUAACCGCUUUUAACCACUAGAUGGAGCUGUACACCUGUUUAAGAAAGCACUGCACGCUCAUGCACUUGUGUCUGAGGUCAGAGUACAGAAAUACUGUUGUGGCAGAUUUGUUUAAGAAUACAUCAGUAUGAUAGUUAUUUGUAUUGGAAGUGAUUUGUACUAAAAUUUUUACAAAUAGCUAGUUAUUUGUAUCACUCUGAAACACAAAAUUUAACUCCUGCUCCUUUUGAAGCUCAUUUACGUAUUUUAGACCAAAUGAUAAUAAUGUACAAUAAUUUCUUUUUGUAUGAUAAUGAAAUGUGCCAUAUUAUUGCUGCACCUUUUUGUGCUUGCUUGUGUUGUUGAGUUUAGAUAAUAGUUUAGAUAGUAUACUGUAACUAUCUUUCUACCCAAUGACAGAUUGUUUUCAACGUAUUGUAUGAGUAUGACAAUUUCCUUUUUACUAAUUGCAUGUUUUUUCGUAAAGAUUUGGGGAAAUAGCUCUCACUAUUAAAUCUUUUUGCUUUUGUUUUUGUCUUUUGAGUCCAGAUAAUCGUACAGCUAUCUUUCUAGCGAAUGAAAUUGUUUCCGAAGUAAUGUAUGCGAAGGACUGAUUAUUUUUCUAUGAAUAGCAAGUUUAUGUUCAAAUUUAGAAAAAUUGCAUCUCACUAUUACACCUUUUUCCACUCGUUUUCAAGUCUAGAUAAUAUUACAGAUAUAUUUCUACCAUACAACAAAUUGUUACCAAUGUAGCAUAUGGGUAUGAAGAUGUUCGUACGAUAUUAUAAAAAGGCGUCCCUCAUUAUUGCAUAUUUUCAUGCUAGAUUCUGUGUUUAAGGUCACAUUUUUAUAUUUACUCAAAUGACUGCCAAUGUAACAUUUUAUAUUUUUACGAAACACAAGUUGUUCGUACUAUAUUAAAAAAUGGAGGCCCAUAUUAUUGCACUUGAUUCUGUUUAAGAUCAUAUCUUUCUAUUUACCGACAGAUUAUUACCAAUCUAACAACAUUUUCUUUCUAUUUGUACGAAUCACAAGUUGUGCAUACAAUAUUAAAAAUUGCGUCCCUCACUAUUGCACCUUUUCACACUUGAUUUUGUGUGUAAAUUCAUACCUUUAUAAUCUCACACAGAUUAUUGCCAGUGUAACGGCAUUUUCUGUUUUUACCACUUGUGAAUUAGAGCAAUUUUAAUAUAUUUUUAUAUAUGUCAUCUCAGAUACCUGUUGUUCUCAGGAACAACAUUUCAAAAUUUCAUUUUUGUAUUUAAAUUAUUAUUAUUAUUAUUAUUAUAUGCAUUACUUUUUGGUUAACAUUAUAAAAAAAUCAUUUUUGUAUUUAAUUAUAUUACUUUAAUAAUAAUAAUGUCGUCAUAUAACACUAAUAUUUAAAUGAUAAUAAUAGUUAUUAUUAUU
rnacentral:lncRNA from 1 species